GCGAAAUCCUGGCCCACAACCGCGGUAAAGCGUGGUGGGCAAGGGGUACUCAGGAUGGAUGAGCGUAGAGGGAGGGGAGGGCGAUUGUUAAGGCAGGUGAGAAAUCCUACAGCUUAACUGUAGAACUGCACUUGAAACUGUCAACCUAUAGUAUGGAAGGGGCAGAUGGAAUUAGUGGUGUAGAGGUAAAAUCCGUAGAGAUCAGAAGGAAUACCGAUUGCGAAGGCGAUCUACUGGAACAUUAUUGACGCUCAGAUGCGAAAGCGUGGGGAGCAAACAGGAUUAGAUACCCGGGUAGUC
rnacentral:rRNA from 1 species